GACGAACGCUGGCGGCGUGCCUAAUACAUGCAAGUCGAACGCAGUGGGGACGGGUUAGUAACACGUGGGUAACCUCCCAUCUGAGGGGAUAAAACUUGGAAACAGGUGCUAACCCCAUACUGAUGGAUCGACCCGCGGUGCAUUAGCCAGUUGGUGAGGUAACGGCUCACCAAGGCAACGAUGCCUAGCCGAUCUGAGAGGGUGACCAGCCACACUGGAACUGAGACACGGCCCAGACUCCUACGGGAGGCAGCAGUAGGGAAUAUUGGGCAAUGGGCGAAAGUCUGAUCGAGCAACGCCGCGUGAGUGAAGAAGGUCUUCGGGUCGUAAAGCUCUGUCGUUGGAGAAGCGUUACCUAACGAGAAAGCAACGGCUAACUCCGUGCCAGCAGCCGCGGUAAUUC
rnacentral:rRNA from 1 species